rnacentral:rRNA from 1 species
GGGUUGUGAGGUUAAGCGACUAAGCGUACACGGUGGAUGCCCAGGCAGUCAGAGGCGAUGAAGGGCGUGCUAAUCUGCGAUAAGCGUCGGUAAGGUGAUAUGAACCGCAACAACCGACGAUACCCGAAUGGGGAAACCCAGUGCAAUCCGUUGCACUAUCAUGUCAUGAAUACAUAGUGGCAUGAGGCGAACCGGGGGAACUGAAACAUCUAAGUACCCCGAGGAAAAGAAAUCAACCGAGAUUCCCCCAGUAGCGGCGAGCGAACGGGGAACAGCCCAGAACCUGAAUCAGUUUGUGCCUUAGUGGAAGCGUCUGGAAAGUCGCGCAGUAAAGGGUGACAGCCCCGUACACAAAAAGGCACUUGCUGUGAGUUCGAUGAGUAGGGCGGGACACGUGACAUCCUGUCUGAAUAUGGGGGGACCAUCCUCCAAGGCUAAAUACUCCUGACUGACCGAUAGUGAACCAGUACCGUGAGGGAAAGGCGAAAAGAACCCCGGCGAGGGGAGUGAAACAGAACCUGAAACCGUGUACGUACAAGCAGUGGGAGCACCUUCGUGGUGUGACUGCGUACCUUUUGUAUAAUGGGUCAGCGACUUAUAUUCUGUAGCAAGGUUAACCGUAUAGGGGAGCCGCAGGGAAACCGAGUCUUAACUGGGCGUUAAGUUGCAGGGUAUAGACCCGAAACCCGGUGAUCUAGCCAUGGGCAGGUUGAAGGUUGGGUAACACUAACUGGAGGACCGAACCGACUAAUGUUGAAAAAUUAGCGGAUGACCUGUGGCUGGGGGUGAAAGGCCAAUCAAACCGGGAGAUAGCUGGUUCUCCCCGAAAGCUAUUUAGGUAGCGCCUCGUGAACUCAUCUCCGGGGGUAGAGCACUGUUUCGGCUAGGGGGCCAUCCCGGCUUACCAACCCGAUGCAAACUGCGAAUACCGGAGAAUGUUAUCACGGGAGACACACGGCGGGUGCUAACGUCCGUCGUGAAGAGGGAAACAACCCAGACCGCCAGCUAAGGUCCCAAAGUCAUGGUUAAGUGGGAAACGAUGUGGGAAGGCACAGACAGCCAGGAUGUUGGCUUAGAAGCAGCCAUCAUUUAAAGAAAGCGUAAUAGCUCACUGGUCGAGUCGGCCUGCGCGGAAGAUGUAACGGGGCUAAACCAUGCACCGAAGCUGCGGCAGCGGACGUAUCACCCAAGCAGAUUCACUGAAGUGGAUAACGAUUGACGGAGCGCAGCGACGUCAAUGCGCCAUCAAAGUCGAGUCGACUUCGGGAUACGUCCGUUGGGUAGGGGAGCGUUCUGUAAGCCGUCGAAGGUGUGCUGUGAGGCAUGCUGGAGGUAUCAGAAGUGCGAAUGCUGACAUAAGUAACGAUAAAGCGGGUGAAAAGCCCGCUCGCCGGAAGACCAAGGGUUCCUGUCCAACGUUAAUCGGGGCAGGGUGAGUCGACCCCUAAGGCGAGGCCGAAAGGCGUAGUCGAUGGGAAACGGGUUAAUAUUCCCGUACUGGGUGUUACUGCGAAGGGGGGACGGAGAAGGCUAUGUUAGCCGGGCGACGGUUGUCCCGGUUUAAGCGUGCAGGCUUGAGUUCCAGGCAAAUCCGGAACUCUUUAAGGCUGAGGCGUGAUGACGAGGCACCACGGUGCUGAAGUAACAAAUGCCCUGCUUCCAGGAAAAGCCUCUAAGCAUCAGGUAACAUCCAAUCGUACCCCAAACCGACACAGGUGGUCAGGUAGAGAAUACCAAGGCGCUUGAGAGAACUCGGGUGAAGGAACUAGGCAAAAUGGUGCCGUAACUUCGGGAGAAGGCACGCUGGCGCGUAGGUGAAGCGACUUGCUCGUGGAGCUGAAGCCAGUCGAAGAUACCAGCUGGCUGCAACUGUUUAUUAAAAACACAGCACUGUGCAAACACGAAAGUGGACGUAUACGGUGUGACGCCUGCCCGGUGCCGGAAGGUUAAUUGAUGGGGUUAUCCGUAAGGAGAAGCUCUUGAUCGAAGCCCCGGUAAACGGCGGCCGUAACUAUAACGGUCCUAAGGUAGCGAAAUUCCUUGUCGGGUAAGUUCCGACCUGCACGAAUGGCGUAAUGAUGGCCAGGCUGUCUCCACCCGAGACUCAGUGAAAUUGAACUCGCUGUGAAGAUGCAGUGUACCCGCGGCAAGACGGAAAGACCCCGUGAACCUUUACUACAGCUUGACACUGAACAUUGAGCCUUGAUGUGUAGGAUAGGUGGGAGGCUUUGAAGCGUGGACGCCAGUCUGCGUGGAGCCAACCUUGAAAUACCACCCUUUAACGUUUGAUGUUCUAACCUGGCGCCGUAAUCCGGCGUGGGGACAGUGUCUGGUGGGUAGUUUGACUGGGGCGGUCUCCUCCCAAAGAGUAACGGAGGAGCACGAAGGUCAGCUAAUCACGGUCGGACAUCGUGAGGUUAGUGCAAUGGCAUAAGCUGGCUUGACUGCGAGAGUGACGGCUCGAGCAGGUGCGAAAGCAGGUCAUAGUGAUCCGGUGGUUCUGAAUGGAAGGGCCAUCGCUCAACGGAUAAAAGGUACUCCGGGGAUAACAGGCUGAUACCGCCCAAGAGUUCAUAUCGACGGCGGUGUUUGGCACCUCGAUGUCGGCUCAUCACAUCCUGGGGCUGAAGUAGGUCCCAAGGGUACGGCUGUUCGCCGUUUAAAGUGGUACGCGAGCUGGGUUUAGAACGUCGUGAGACAGUUCGGUCCCUAUCUGCCGUGGGCGCUGGAAGAUUGAGAGGGGUUGCUCCUAGUACGAGAGGACCGGAGUGAACGCACCGCUGGUGUUCGGGUUGUCAUGCCAAUGGCAUUGCCCGGUAGCUAAGUGCGGAAAAGAUAAGCGCUGAAAGCAUCUAAGCGCGAAACUUGCCUCGAGAUGAAUCUUCCCUGACUCCUUGAGAGUCCUGAAGGGACGUUGAAGACGACGACGUUGAUAGGCCGGGUGUGUAAGCGCAGCGAUGCGUUGAGCUAACCGGUACUAAUGACCCGUGAGGCUUAACCUUACAACGCCAGAAGCGUUCUG